rnacentral:rRNA from 1 species
UACGUAGGGGGCAAGCGUUGUCCGGAAUCAUUGGGCGUAAAGAGCGUGUAGGCGGCCAGAUAAGUCCGCUGUGAAAUCUCGAGGCUCAACUUCGAGCUGUCGGUGGAAACUGUCUGGCUAGAGUCCGGAAGAGGAGAAUGGAAUUCCUGGUGUAGCGGUGAAAUGCGCAGAUAUCAGGAAGAACACCCGUGGCGAAGGCGGUUCUCUGGGACGGUACUGACGCUGAGGAGCGAAAGCGUGGGGAGCGAACAGG